AACCUUGAAUUUGAGCUAGGGUUUUGGAUAGAAAUUUGGGCUUUGCUUAUGUAAUGGUGAAUGAACAUUCUAAUAGUAAAUUAGUGAUCAUUUGAGGUAAAUUGACCAUAACUUGGAGUGAAUUAUAGCAUUAGAAAACUGAUUUGGUAUGCUGCCUAGUGAGAGCAGCAGGUUUGGAUGUAAGUCCAGCCUGUUUGGACAGCCACAACUUGGGCUGUGUAG
rnacentral:misc_RNA from 1 species